rfam:Chlorocebus sabaeus isolate 1994-021 chromosome 7, whole genome shotgun sequence.
GCUCAAUGCAGUGGGAGUGUCUAUAGUCCCAGCUACUUGGGAGGCUGAGGUGGGAGGAUGGCUUGAGUCCAGGAGUUCUGGGAUGUAGUGCACUAUGCUGAUUGGGUGUCCACACUAAGUUCAGCAUUGAUAUGGUGACCUCUGGGGAGCGGGGGACCACCAGGUUGCCUAAGGAAAGGUGAACCGGCCCAGGUCAGAAAUAGAGCAGGUCAAAACUCUUCUGUUCAUCAGUAGUGGGAUUGAGCCUAUGAAUAGCCACUGUGCUCCAGACUAGGCAAUAUAGCAAGACCCCAUCUCUA